AGGUGGGGAAGGAGAACAGUGAUUACCUUUCCGUCUUCCAUGUUCUCGCAUAUGAGUUCAACCCAGGUUUGGUAUUUGUGCUGACUUUGACUCUGCCAUUGGAGACCCAGAGGGUCAUGUGUGAAACCCCAGACAUCUUUGCCCACCAGACCCACCUCCCGAUGUCCCUGGCUGGGGGGGAAACUGUGUACAGUCCUGGAGAAGAGAAUGCUGAGAGGAACAUGCUGAACCCAACUUCCAGAGAAUCCUCCAUUGAAAGAUCUUCAGAGGGUGUUAAUAGACUGGAUCAACAAUGAGCUGGAGGAGGACAGGAUCAUCUUCAAAGACUUGGAGGAGGAUUGCUAUGAUGGGCAGGUGCUCUAGAAGUUAUUUGUGAAGCUGUCGGGUUGGAAGCUAAAUGUGGCUGAGGUGACCCAGUCAGAGAGAGGACAGAAGUAGAUGCUCCAAACGGUACUGGAGUCGGUCAACCAGCUGCUCAGGCCUCACGGCUGGUCCAUUGAGUAGAACAUUGACUGUGAGUUGUAUUUUACAGUCUAAGACCAAACAUUCAUAGGUGCCAUUCAAUUGC